CAGAAAUGGGAGUUCCUUGCAGCCCAAAGCUUCCAUGCACAAGUUGCUGUAGUUUUGGACUGAAGGGAGCUCCUAAUUCUU
rfam:Vigna angularis cultivar Jingnong 6 chromosome 4, whole genome shotgun sequence.